rnacentral:rRNA from 1 species
GGGAACGUGCCUUUAGGUUCGGAAUAACUCAGGGAAACUUGUGCUAAUACCGAAUGUGCCCUUCGGGGGAAAGAUUUAUCGCCUUUAGAGCGGCCCGCGUCUGAUUAGCUAGUUGGUGAGGUAAAGGCUCACCAAGGCGACGAUCAGUAGCUGGUCUGAGAGGAUGAUCAGCCACAUUGGGACUGAGACACGGCCCAAACUCCUACGGGAGGCAGCAGUGGGGAAUCUUGCGCAAUGGGCGAAAGCCUGACGCAGCCAUGCCGCGUGAAUGAUGAAGGUCUUAGGAUUGUAAAAUUCUUUCACCGGGGACGAUAAUGACGGUACCCGGAGAAGAAGCCCCGGCUAACUUCGUGCCAGCAGCCGCGGUAAUACGAAGGGGGCUAGCGUUGCUCGGAAUUACUGGGCGUAAAGGGAGCGUAGGCGGACAUUUAAGUCAGGGGUGAAAUCCCGGGGCUCAACCUCGGAAUUGCCUUUGAUACUGGGUGUCUUGAGUAUGAGAGAGGUGUGUGGAACUCCGAGUGUAGAGGUGAAAUUCGUAGAUAUUCGGAAGAACACCAGUGGCGAAGGCGACACACUGGCUCAUUACUGACGCUGAGGCUCGAAAGCGUGGGGAGCAAACAGGAUUAGAUACCCUGGUAGUCCACGCCGUAAACGAUGAUUGCUAGUUGUCGGGAUGCAUGCAUUUCGGUGACGCAGCUAACGCAUUAAGCAAUCCGCCUGGGGAGUACGGUCGCAAGAUUAAAACUCAA